UCCUAUUUUCCGAUGGAAAAAUAGGGAGAAAAAUCCACUUCAAAGUUCGAAGAGAACCCUCUCCGGGCGCCCUCGCAUCAUCAAGCUUCGAUCUUUCCCCUUUUCACUCGCUGAAUGAUCCAUUAUCCAUGACUUCUCUGCAAAUUUCUAUCAGUUCUCCAAUCUCCAGCACCUUUUGGGGCAUUCUUGAUAGCAAAAGAUGCUGCCUUGGUCUCGGGUUCGUGUCCCCCACCGGCUGUUGCUCAGUUCCAAGAAGAAAAAUCAGUUUUUGGUAUAGAAAUGGCUCGUUUUGGAGGGAAGGAAUGAAGAAAGAUGCGAUCUUGGUGAGGAAAGGGAGGAAGGGGAGCCUACUGGCAGUCAGGGCUAACAACUUUAAUGGUGGUGGGGAUGGGUGGGAUAGGAGCGCCACCGCCAGGGUUUUAGGCAAUCUUGCUUUGGCCAUUGGCCUGACAUAUCUCAGCAUGACAGGGCAGCUUGGUUGGGUUUUGGAUGCUAUUGUUUCAAUUUGGCUCAUUGCAGCGCUACUGCCUAUUGUGGGGUUAGGUGCUUUCUUCUGGUUUGCAGGACGAGACAUAGUUCAGAGCAGUUGCCCCAAUUGUGGAAACGACUUCCAGAUAUUUAAGUCCUCUCUAAAGGAUGGUCCCCAACUAUGCCCAUUCUGCAGUCAACCUUUCUCUGUGCAGGGGAACAAAUUUGUCAGAGAAUCUGCUAGAUUCUCUUCUGGUCGUUCUACAACAAAUGGACAGGUCUUUAAUGGAUUCUCAUCUCGUGCUGAUAAAGGAAAGGCCUCUUCUACUACUGUUGUUGACAUCGAAGCUGAAGUGAAGGAUGUAGACUGAUCUAAAUCAUUAGUUACCAUGGACUCAGAGUUCAAAAAUUUCAGAUAUUUUGCCAUCCCUACUCUUAAGAGGCUUUGUUACCCAUACCUGUUUAUUAUUCCACUAUCAUUUAGACCGCAAAUUCUCCAAGCUGGUGAAGAAGCUCUCGAGAAAGUUCUGAAUUCAGCGACCGAGGGUUUCUUUCCAUGCACAGAUUUUGAAGGUCAGCAGUAGUGAUCCCAUGUUGAUAGUGAAACAGUGUUAUGUCUAGUUCUGUUAUGUACAUAAUCUGCAAUGGAUUAGCUACUAAAUUGUUUACUGCCACUACAUUUUAAUAACAGUUCACAGGCGAUGCUAUGCCAGUGUUCUGCGAAAGAAAUUUAAUCAUAA